rnacentral:rRNA from 1 species
CCUACGGGAGGCAGCAGUGAGGAAUAUUGGUCAAUGGACGGAAGUCUGAACCAGCCAUGCCGCGUGCAGGAAGACGGCUCUCUGAGUUGUAAACUGCUUUUGUACAAGGGUAAACCUGAAUACGUGUAUUCAGCUGAAAGUACUGUACGAAUAAGGAUCGGCUAACUCCGUGCCAGCAGCCGCGGUAAUACGGAGGAUCCAAGCGUUAACCGGAUUUAUUGGGUGUAAAGGGUGCGUAGGCGGAUUGAUAAGUUAGAGGUUAAAUGUCCGAGCUUAACUCGGGAACUGCCUCUAAUACUGUUGGGCUAGAGAGUAGGUGCGGUAGGCGGAAUGUAUGGUGUAGCGGUGAAAUGCUUAGAGAUCAUGCAGAACACCAGUUGCGAAGGCAGCUUACCAAUCUAUAUCUGACGUUGAGGCACGAAAGCGUGGGGAGCAAACAGGAUUAGAUACCCCAGUAGUC